AGACAACGGUCCAUUCUGUGGCAAUUCCAGAAACCUGGAUCCUGGAAUGAGGGUGAAAACUGAGCUUCCAGCCAAGUAGUGAUGGACAUAUUGUCUUCCUUCCAUCCUGCUGUUACAUGGUGGACAUCCCAAAGCAUAUCGUGUGCUCUUCUAGAGCGGGAACCACCAAUGAACCCCAGCACAUUGCCUGACAACAUGGAUAUUCAAACAUCAUUUGAUAAUGG